GAUGAAGAACGCAGCGAAAUGCGAUACUUGGUGUGAAUUGCAGAAUCCCGUGAACCAUCGAGUCUUUGAACGCAAGUUGCGCCCGAAGCCAUCAGGUUGAGGGCACGUCUGCCUGGGCGUCACAUAUCGUUGCCCAAUGCCUAUUGCAGUGCAAUAGGAAUUUCUAGUGCGAAUGAUGGCUUCCCGUGAGCGUUGUUGCCUCGCGGUUGGUUGAAAAUCGAGUCCUUGGUAGGGUGUGCCAUGGUAGAUGGUGGUCGAGUUAGAACGAUACCGAUCAUGUGCAUGCUCCCCAAAAUAUGGCCUCUAUGACCCACACGCGUCUUUUGACGCUCAUGACGAGACCUCAGGUCAGGCGGGGCUACCCGCUGAAUUUAAGCAUAUCAAUAAGCGGAGGA
rnacentral:misc_RNA from 1 species